rnacentral:rRNA from 1 species
GUCCACGCCCUAAACUAUGUCAACUAGUUGUCGGGGAAGCAAUUCCUUGGUAACGAAGCUAACGCGUGAAGUUGACCGCCUGGGGAGUACGGUCGCAAGAUUAAAACUCAAAGGAAUUGACGGUGGCCCGCACAAGCGGUGGAUGAUGUGGAUUAAUUCGAUGCAACGCGAAAACCUUACCUACCCUUGACAUGGCAGGAAGCCCGAUGAGAGUCGGGUGUGCUCGAAAGAGAGCCUGCACACAGGUGCUGCAUGGCUGUCGU